AAAUACAGGACUUCACCGAAAAUAUGGAAAUUCCUCCCAGAAAUACCUGUUUAUCCCCUGAGAUACGGCUUUUUUCUCCCAGAAAUACUUGUUUUCUCAUUAAAAUGUGACUCUUUCUCCUCCUAUAACCCCGCACAAAUCCUCCAGACCCCAAAGUCCCCCUUGUCCUCCAUGCCCCCCCAUAUACCCUCGCGAUUCCCCAUAGACCCCCCUGACCCCCUACGGAUCCUUAAGUCCUCCUUGCCUUCCAUGCCCCCACAAUCCCCUAUAGAGCCCUACAUCCUUUAUGCCCCCCAUAAGCUCCCACCAUCCCCUACAGACUCCGGCCCACCCCUUUGUGGCCCCAUUGGCACUGCACAGCACCGCCACCACCCACAUCCUUUUCCGUUGUGGGGCGGAAGGAAGCGGCGGCCCCACAGUGUGGCAGCAGCGCCAUGGCCGGCCCUAUAACCGCCCUUAUGGGCGUCGUGCUCGGGGCUCUGUUCUCCCCUAUGGGAUCCUUCAACAUCCAUCCGACCCCACAGCGGGUCCUGGAGGUCGCGGGGACCCCCAGCUUUGGUUAUGGGGUGCUGACGCUGCCGGAGGGACGGGUGGUUGUGGGGGCUCCAAAUGUGGGGCGGUUGUAU
rnacentral:lncRNA from 1 species